rnacentral:tRNA from 1 species
GUUUUUAUAGUUUAUAAUACCCAAAACGUUGGUCUUGUAAACCAACAAUGAAUUAAUUUCUAAAAACU